AUAUGGGGAAAUACAAAGAACCAAGAGUAGUCAAGACUCUUUAAAAAAAAAAAAAAAAGUUGGGAGGACGUGGUUUAGCAGAUGUCAAGGUUCAUUCUAAAGCUGUGGUCAUUGGGACAGGCUGGUGCGGGCACAGCGCUCAGCACCGACUAACGAAAAGCCCGCAGACAGACUUGUGCUCCAUCUAAACACCCUUGUCUGAGGGCAGAGAAAGCUUGGCAGAGCCGAGGGGAAGGCAGGACCGUGACCCCUGGAGGUGAGCGAUGGGGGUACGGCCUGGUCGCUGGCCACCAGGCAGGGAGUUGCUUGUCCGAGCUUGGUGAUGUCACCCCCUGCCCCAGCCUCAACCUUCCCACCUGUGCAGUAAGCAGAUGGAACCAAAGCCAGAGGGACCCUUUCCGGCCGCAGUUUACCUGAUCCUGGGUGGAACGAGGUGGCCAUCGUCUGCCGGCAGAAAGCCAGCGCAUUAGGCAGGCGACACCACUGAUGGCCUCUUGAUGCUUCUUCCUUUUGUCCUUCUCAAGGUAUCCUCUAAACCGAGCGCUGAUGAGCACCCCGAGAGCGGCGGAGUCUCCAGAGCCCCGGGCAGCAGCCACAGGAGGCCAGAGAGACAGUCGGGCAUCUCGGCCAUCUCGUAUGACUACUCGGAAGAGGAGCUGAUGGCCAGCAUCGAGCAGGAGUAUUGUCGCUGAGGCCACUGGAGCAGCCCUGCAGGCCCCCGCCCCAGCCAGCCGAGGCUGCUCCUCUGCCCCCCACCCCGCCUGACCAGACUGGGGUUGCACCCCCGCCCCUGCCCAGGCUCUGGCUGGAGCUGAGCCCCCUCCAACAUGCAGUUACUCCUGGUUCUUUCAAAAGAUCCGGCUUCAAGCUUGCUGGCAAAGGGUGGUCAGCCAUGCAGACCCAGGUGCGAGGGCAGACACAGCUGCUGCCCCCCAGGUGUGUGUGCAGGCCUGGAGCCUGAAAUGCUUUCCCGGCCGGAUGGCCCUCUCUGCACCAGGACUGGGGACAGCUCACCAGUGAGUGUGGCCCAGACUGGCUCCCUUGGGGCCUCUAAGGCGUCCCCCAGCACCUGACGGCCCCCAGGCAGUGUGCUUUCCUGAGCUGGGGGGAGUCACCCUGGUUCUGCACCGCAGCUGCCUGGAGAUGUUGGUUCUGUGGGUCUGGGGCGGGGCCAGAGAGUCUGAAUUUCUAACCAGCCCCCAGGUGAGACCCGAGCUCCUGGACCCCAGCCUGGCUCCGGGUAGGAAGGCCUGAGUCUAAGCUUUAGAACUUAACUGACUCUUCCUUCCUGGCACUGGGGCUGCUCAGAGCCACAGCCCACCUGCCCCCCUGGAGAAAGGCCUACUCCCCUCCUCGGCAGGUGUGACAGAUGGAGAGCACAGGGCUGGGAGCUGGAGCCUCAGUUCUGAUCCUCGCCCUCACACUAACGUGCCUGUGUGCCUCGGUUUCCCUCUCUAGAAACGGAGUCCUGGAGGCUCUUCCAGGCAUUCCAGCCCCGACAGUCUGGGAUCAGGCAAUUCCAGGCUUCCUUGAUCUCUGCUGUUCUGCCAGCCCCCUGGGGCACAGAGCUGCCCCUGCAGCUUUGGGGGAGCACCCUGGCCCCACCUGGAGGAGGUCCUGAGGAACACCUGCUCUCACCAGCCCGAGGGGACUGGUUUACUCUCCUCCCAACUGGGAGAAGGUGCAACAUCACUGCAGUGAGGCCAGAAGAGUCCGAGAACUUUCCUAUCUGAUAGAUGAGAAAGCCAAUUUGCCAGGGAUGUCUGUGAAUCCAAGGCAGGGCCAGGGGAGCCACAGCCUGACCAGAAGGAGGGACUCCUGUGGGGGUGCAGGCAUGGCCAGCCUUGGAAGAAGGUUCUGGCUGGCAUGCGGUUUGGGGGCCAGGCGGCGGCCCCUCUGGAACAGCUGGGAGGGCAUGAGAACAAAGGGGCAUGUGGGUGUGACGUCAGCUUUUGCCAAAGCCAGAAUAGGUCUCAGCUUGCAAAUUAACCACCAACACAGCAGCCUUCCUGGCGUGGCCUGCAAGAUGCAAGAGCUUCUCAGACACAGACGCGGGGCCCCUUGGCACUGUCCCCAGACCCACAGGCCUGUUUCCGUCACAGGCAAACGGGUGUUUCCAUGAACUUUUAUUACUUGGCAAGACAGCGUUUGAUCAGAUGCUCCAUCGCUGGGAGAGUCUUACCGCCGAGCCAGAGGAUGGCGCGUGGAGCCUUCCAGCAUCUGCCCCUGAGGGACCCCCCCCCCGCAAAGCGAGAGCUACUCCCCAUCCAAGCCCAAAUCAUUUCUUUUGAUCAAAGAUGAAAACCAUUACUAUUUUAAUAAUACAAAUAUUUCUCUUAAA